UUCAUGUUGUUGUUGUCAUUAUUAUUAUUGCCAUCCUUGUCAACUUCAUCAUCAUUUUAGGAAAGGGUGAGUGGAAGAUUUGGCAGAAUUGCAGGGAAAAAUACCUUACUGAUUUGGUUAUAACCUCUUUAAAUUUUGAACUCAAAUCCUGUUUUUCAUCCCUCCAGAGUUAAUAAAAUAUAUACCAAUCAAAUACUUAGGUCGGUGUUAUCAACUGUAUAUCCUCCUUCCACGUCCUAAAAAGUUGCAGUUCUUUGCUUAUGCUAUAAAUUAUAAAUAAGGACAAAAGUAGUCAGUAAAGGAGGUGGGAGUCUUUGUUGCAUUUGACAUUUUCAGGUUAAAUCCUGCUAAUCUGGACUUCAUCUUUCAUCUCUGCAGAAGCAAUAAAAUAAGUCAAAUACUAGAUAUGGUUUGUCUGAAAUGGUUAUAGAAUAUCUGCUGUAGUUUCUGCUUUCACCUUUUAAAUUGGAUUCAAGCCGUUUAGAAUGAUUGCUACUGCUAUAUAUUUGGUACAUGUACACCAAACACUCUUUCCUGUAUCAAACUGAAACUGAUAAUCAUAUUAUCGGUUUUGGCUUGUGCCAAAAUUUGACCAACAAUUUUGGAGAAAUGGGCCAGUUGAUUA